rnacentral:rRNA from 1 species
UGUGAACUCGAAGAGUAGGGCGGGACACGUGGUAUCCUGUCUGAAUAUGGGGGGACCAUCCUCCAAGGCUAAAUACUCCUGACUGACCGAUAGUGAACCAGUACCGUGAGGGAAAGGCGAAAAGAACCCCGGCGAGGGGAGUGAAAAAGAACCUGAAACCGUGUACGUACAAGCAGUGGGAGCACCUUCGGGUGUGACUGCGUACCUUUUGUAUAAUGGGUCAGCGACUUAUAUUCUGUAGCAAGGUUAACCGUAUAGGGGAGCCGCAGGGAAACCGAGUCUUAACUGGGCGUUAAGUUGCAGGGUAUAGACCCGAAACCCGGUGAUCUAGCCAUGGGCAGGUUGAAGGUUGGGUAACACUAACUGGAGGACCGAACCGACUAAUGUUGAAAAAUUAGCGGAUGACUUGUGGCUGGGGGUGAAAGGCCAAUCAAACCGGGAGAUAGCUGGUUCUCCCCGAAAGCUAUUUAGGUAGCGCCUCGUGAACUCAUCUUCGGGGGUAGAGCACUGUUUCGGCUAGGGGGUCAUCCCGACUUACCAACCCGAUGCAAACUACGAAUACCGAAGAAUGUUAUCACGGGAGACACACGGCGGGUGCUAACGUCCGUCGUGAAGAGGGAAACAACCCAGACCGCCAGCUAAGGUCCCAAAGUCAUGGUUAAGUGGGAAACGAUGUGGGAAGGCACAGACAGCCAGGAUGUUGGCUUAGAAGCAGCCAUCAUUUAAAGAAAGCGUAAUAGCUCACUGGUCGAGUCGGCCUGCGCGGAAGAUGUAACGGGGCUAAACCAUGCACCGAAGCUGCGGCAGCGACACUAUGUGUUGUUGGGUAGGGGAGCGUUCUGUAAGCCUGCGAAGGUGACCUGUGAGGGUUGCUGGAGGUAUCAGAAGUGCGAAUGCUGACAUAAGUAACGAUAAAGCGGGUGAAAAGCCCGCUCGCCGGAAGACCAAGGGUUCCUGUCCAACGUUAAUCGGGGCAGGGUGAGUCGACCCCUAAGGCGAGGCCGAAAGGCGUAGUCGAUGGGAAACAGGUUAAUAUUCCUGUACUUGGUGUUACUGCGAAGGGGGGACGGAGAAGGCUAUGUUAGCCGGGCGACGGUUGUCCCGGUUUAAGCAUGUAGGCUGGUUGUCCAGGCAAAUCCGGAUAAUCAAGGCUGAGGUGUGAUGACGAGGCACUACGGUGCUGAAGUAACAAAUGCCCUGCUUCCAGGAAAAGCCUCUAAGCAUCAGGUAACAUUAAAUCGUACCCCAAACCGACACAGGUGGUCAGGUAGAGAAUACCAAGGCGCUUGAGAGAACUCGGGUGAAGGAACUA